rnacentral:misc_RNA from 1 species
GAUGAAGAACGCAGCGAAAUGCGAUACGUAAUGCGAAUUGCAGAAUCCAGCGAGUCAUCGAAUCUUUGAACGCACAUUGCGCCCGCCAGCAUUCUGGCGGGCAUGCCUGUCCGAGCGUCACUCUCCACCCGUCAAGCCCGGCUUGUGUUGAGGCACUGCGGCCGCCGCAGGCCCCCAAAUGGAGUGGCGGGACCGCCCCCCGCGUCGAGCGCAGUACAGCACCUCGCUCCGGCGCGCGGGCGGCCCCCGGCCGUAAAGCCCCCCACCUUGUACAGGAUGACCUCGGAUCAGGUAGGAAUACCCGCUGAACUUAAGCAUAUCAAUAAGCGGAGGA